CAUGAAUCGAGAAUACGCGGCCACUGGAAACGACGCUGCUCAGAGACCAGAAGCAUAACAGAGCGACAGCGAUGGCGCUGACCGGUCCGACCGAAACCCUGACGCUCUCGGCGAGCAUCGAUUGGUAAUACCGGUCCGCCGUGGAGUGUUCGUGUCGAUUAAACAUGCUGCUCGGGUCGACAGCCCAUCGGUGGUGCGAUGACAGACACGAUGGUAACAGAAAGCAGGGAAGUCUGUCUGACAUAAGGCGCAAAAGCACUUCGGAGGGAGAUGUCGGGACUUAGGUGCAGGUAAUUCCUUCGCUUCUCCUCCACGCUUCGAAGCGUUCGGCUGCUUGGAGCAGUGGGUGACGAGUUCAGCCGGUACAGUGGUCGCAUACACGGCUGGCGUUUCAGGGUGUGCGCCAGAAUGUCGACGUUCAAGAUGAACAGCAGUGGUUCUCUGUUCCUCCCAGCAAGUGGAAGGGAGAUGUGCGCCACCAGAGGAGGAGGAGGAGGAGGAGGAGGAGAGACCAGGAAGAAGAAGAAGGAGGAGGAGGAGAAAAAGAAGAAGAAGAAGAAGAAAAAUAGUUAAAUGUUAAUUUAGUACUUGGAUUAUAUUUUCGAUCGUUUAUUUUUAUAUUUAUUGCGGGAGAGGAAGGUCCUGGACGAAGCGCAAGAAAGAGGAAAUAGUGCCAAGGCUCGCAGUGCCGUUAAUAGUUUAAUACGAUAGCUUUUCUACGAAUCACUUUCUUUUAUUUAUUUUUUUUCGUUUUCCUGCAGGUUACUAUGCCGUCUUUCAAAAUAUGAAGUGCCAACAGGGACAGCACACUAAGAUGGAACAAAGACAAGGCGAUACUUGCAACUGUUUAUUGAAGUCAAAGGUGGCUGAUUACAUAUCCAGGGGGAGAGAGGGAAGAAAAAAGAGGGAGCGCUAAUUGUGUGAAUGCGCACGCGCGAGAACACUGAAGAGGUGUACGAAGGGAAUCACGAUUAAUCAAAUAUCUAAAACGUAUCUAAAGACAUGCUUUCAUUUGCGUAAAUAUUCAGAGACCGGUUGCUGACACAAGCGUUCCCUCUUUUCUUAAUCUGGUUAGCCUCCCACAAUUCACGCGCCACAGAAUCUUCGCUUUUAAACAUGAUUGCUGUAUCAUGAAUUAUCGCGGCAUCACUAUGCCGUGAUGUCAUGACGCACAAGGUGUUCCCGUGGCAGCAGGAUAUCGCGGGACGUUUUGACACUCUCGCUGGCUGUAUGUAGCUUGGGUCGGUCGUCUCAUAUGCUGCUACAUCAUCAUCAUCAUCAUCAUCAUCAUCAUCAUCAUCUUGGUUACGCCCACUGCAGGGCAAAGGCCUCUCCCAUACUUCUCCAACAACGCCGGUCAUGUAGACGAACGUUUGAGGAGGCCCGAUGCUGCUACAUCGGGCCCCAAAACGGCAGCAUCGCCCAGCGGCGGCGUGUACUCGUGUGAGGAAUACAACAACGGUGCAGAAUCUUGAAGACUAUGCUGUCACGUUGCAGGGAGUGCCACCGGUUACACUCGCCAUGAAGUUUCCUACAAAACAUUACCGUGACUAUGCGACCGUUCAACCACCAUCUGUGUGACGGGUACCGCGUAUGUAUUUGUCUGAUCUUCAUGCUUGUGGCUUCAGACGUCUCAUAUAUAUAGUGGCGUUAUUUCAUAUUAGGGGUUAUCUUCGUCAUUUCCAAGAAAUCUUAUUUUAUAAAUGCAAGAAUGCAGUUAGCGUCGGCGCACACGAAUAAUCAUUGGGUAUCGCAGCGUCUAUAACACCGUAUCCGAUGGUCACGGCGGCCGUAUUUCUAUGGGCGCGACAUGCGAAAACACCCUUGUACUUAAAUUUACGUGCACGUUAAGGAUCUCCAGAUGGUCCAAAUUAUGCCGGAAUCCCACAUUACUGCGUUUCUCAAAAUCUGAUCGUGACUGUGGCACGUAAAAGCCCAUAAUUUAAUUUUAACACCGUAUUUAAUGGAAGUGAUCAAUUUGCAAAGUGACAAAGUCGUGUGAAGCCAAAAUGACGACGUUUAGGCAAGUACAUGUGCUACCCACUGUCAUUCCGUACGCGCUAACAGAACCGCAUAUCAUGCAGUUCUCGUGGAUCACUGAUAUAACCAGAGAUCUCUUUCGUAACAUUUGUAAGACACUCUAUAUGGCAACUUCUGCUUGUACAGACAUAAGCUGCAAAGUGCAUAUUGACUGACUGCAGCAUGCUAUUGUGAAAUAAAGGCACAUGUAGGGAUGCAAAGAAAGGACGCAAACGUACGGCACUGGACGAUCGCAAAUAUCAGCGCACACAUAUAUACAGUGAUUGUGCAAAAUAAACACCUGUGAGUUCAUUUUCGUCCAGUGUCGUCUGCGUUCUUUCUUUGCGACUUGAUUUCGCAACCAUGCGCUGCAUUCAGUCAACACGUGCGACCAACUAGCCCCAUCCUCAGCUCUUCUACAGAGGGCAGAGUUGCGUGAUGUUGCCACCCGUGGAUGAGGCGAAGGAUGUUGCAGCUUGCGCGACAUUUUAGAAACUCUCGGCAAUUACCACGCAUAAUGUGCAUAAACGUUGGUAAGAUCCUUCAUUGUUUCUUGUAGCUGUAGGGUAAGAAAAAAAAAAGCACUCGGACACGCAGCAUACGGCGUGCGGCGACGAUGUUAUCGCCCUUGAACUUUAUGCGGAACAUCACGCCCACGGCGAAGACGACGGCAGAACUGUGCCUGGAGGGUCCACAUAAUUGCCAUCGCAAUAAAAGCGGGGAAAGGAAGCACUACCGGAUCGGCCAUCCGGUCUCCGAUCAGCAGAUCAGCGUGGUCUUUCACCUGCGACCCCAGAGCCUAAGAAGCGUGCACGCUCCGGUGCUCUACUGAAGGUGGGUGCAAUUCUUCCAAUCGUCCACACCGCCACGGGAGGGGUGGAGAUGCGGUAACUGGGGGUUGCGCGCGCACGAACUAGCGUCGAAGCAGCCAUUACUAUUUUUUACUCUGCAUCACCAAUACCAUGCAGUGCAGUCAAAGCUGCAGAUCGCGUCAGACAUGGCGGGAGCGAGCAUAAGAAGGAAAGAAAAAGAACGCACCGGUUUCGGCGAGUUGGUAGCCGAAAUUCAUACCGGCUGGUUUCUGCGCUCGAAUAUAUUUGAGGGCGAAAGCACGGGAAGUCACAAACGUAAUUAUAUUAGGCAGGCAUUGUAAAGUUUAUGCAUAGUCGGGACAUGUCGCAAUAGUCACCCAACCGUAAGUUUGUGGUAUCACCUCUAGGGAUGAAGUUCGAGCGCAGGGGUGAUGUGACGGGCUGCUUAAUAUGACGCGAUAGUGACCCAACCGGAAGUGCGUGAUGUCAUCUCUGUACAUGAACUUCACCCUGCCCCACUAAUAAAGUUCAGUUGGAAGUUUACGCUCAUGUAUCUGCUACGCCGUACGUUUUUCCCCUCAAUUUGUGCGCGAGAACCCACCGAUAGAAAGAAAAGACCUCGACCACUGUGCUCUGUUAAUCCUCCAGCGCCUGACAUCGGUUGGAUAUAAGAAUGACGGAUGGAUUAGCGGCGCACAACGAAACAGUGGUCAAUCUCUUUUUCAUAGUUCUCUCUCUUGAUUGGCCGACGACAUCCGUGUAGCGUUGAGCGCACUGCGCGGAUUUGGGGAGACGUGAUCGUUAUAGACAGGCAGGCAG